GAUGAACGCUGGCGGCGUGCCUAAUACAUGCAAGUCGAGCGAACAGACGAGGAGCUUGCUCCUUUGACGUUAGCGGCGGACGGGUGAGUAACACGUGGAUAACCUACCUAUAAGACUGGGAUAACUUCGGGAAACCGGAGCUAAUACCGGAUAACAUGUUGAACCGCAUGGUUCAACAGUGAAAGACGGUCUUGCUGUCACUUAUAGAUGGAUCCGCGCCGCAUUAGCUAGUUGGUAAGGUAACGGCUUACCAAGGCAACGAUGCGUAGCCGACCUGAGAGGGUGAUCGGCCACACUGGGACUGAGACACGGUCCAGACUCCUACGGGAGGCAGCAGUAGGGAAUCUUCCGCAAUGGGCGAAAGCCUGACGGAGCAACGCCGCGUGAGUGAAGAAGGUCUUCGGAUCGUAAAACUCUGUUAUUAGGGAAGAACAAAUGUGUAAGUAACUAUGCACGUCUUGACGGUACCUAAUCAGAAAGCCACGGCUAACUACGUG
rnacentral:rRNA from 1 species